AAUGUGGCUGGCAGACCCUGAAUAGUUCACGAUCCCUGGCUGUGUUUCUUAUAACGUCAUCAUGAAGAUCGCCUUGGUGAGCAUCUCUUUGCUGAUGCUCCUGACUGACAUCCACGCCAGCGUCCAACCGCAGAAAGACUUUGACCUUCAGAGAUUUGCAGGGAGAUGGUAUCGGCUCGGUCUGGCCUAUGAUUCUCCAGGGUUUGUGCGCUACAGAAACAGACUCACCAUCUCGAUGGGCACAGUGGAGCUGAAGGACAACGGGAACGUCAGCAUGACCAUGUGGAGUGUAACUUCCUCUGGCUGUCAUUCUGUGGUCUACAUUUAUAAGACGACGUCUGUUCCCGGUGUAUUUACCUACUACAGCACUCGUCAUAGAAGGGUGAAGGAUGUUACUGUGGUGGAGACAAACUACACAGAGUAUGCCCUGGUCCUCAAACACAAGAAGUUUAACAAGGAGUUCACACAAGUGGCCCUUUAUGGUCGUACUGAGAAGUUGAGAGCGGAUGUGAUGGAGAAGUUCAGAGCAUAUGCCACAGCUCAAGGAUUCCCUAAAGACUCCAUACUGACUCCACCAGCUGCUGGUGAACCUCUCAAAUCACUAACACCUGCAAGAUCACCCAAAAAAUGUCAUCAUCAAAAAGUCUUAAUUUACUCAGCCUCAUGUCGUUCCAAACCAGUUUGAGAUUCUUUCUUCUGUGUUGUUUCAAAAGAAGAUAUUUUCUGGUAGCCAUUGACUUCCAUAGAAUGUAAAGAAAUACUAUAGAAGUGACUGGCUACCAUCAACUACUUUGCUACCCAUAUUCUUCACAUUAUAUUAUUUUGUGUUGAGAAAGAAACUCAUACAGGUUUGGAAACGACAUGAGGAUGAGUAAAUUAUGACAACAUUUUUAGCUGAACUAUCCCUUUAAGCCACACUUGAAUGGAGGAGGAUUGCAAUACUGAUUAAGCAAUACUGUUCAAAACGACAACAAAAUAACAGACUGUCUACACCAUUGUUUACUCCGACGGGACAUUUGAGGAGGAACAUUUUUGAUAUUUGGUUUGAUGUCUAACACCGUGUGUCCGAAAUCUCACACUGAAAAACUGUCCUUCUUCAGGAAGUUAGUUGCCAUUCACAUUUAGCGCUGGAGGAAACACACACCUUUGCUUUAAUAUAACAAAUUGAUGUUAUUUUGUGGCAGUUUGUAAUAUUGUAACUGAUGUCAUUUUCAUUUGCUGUGCUUAGUUGUUAUAUUUAAAUAUAACGCUGAAAAAACACUGAAUUCAAGCGCCGAAGAAGUGUGGAAAUACAGAGAGAGGUAUUGUCACAUCUCUGAUUAUCUUUGCUGGCGAAAAUUAAACUUUUUUUGUUUCUGUUCAUGUUGCAUAUGUGACUCACAUCUGGAGUUUAACAUGCAAAAUGAAAGUUAAUGUGUAAAUAUGAGUACAUCUUCUCUUGUGUUGAAGAUUUUCUUAUAGACUCCGUUUUAACGGGAAAAAGCUAACUGCUUACUGAGUGAUUGUGACUGAAAAGUCAUGCUCACUGGAUGAAAUUUUUGUGACAGAUGUUUGGUAAUUGUAAAUAAAGAUCUAAUUCUAAAGGA